GGGCUCGCUGCGGCAGCACAUGCACUAAAGUUGGAACGAUACAGACGAGAUUAGCGUGGCCCCCGCGCAGGGACGACACGCAAAUGCGUGAAGAGUUCCCUAUUUUU